rnacentral:rRNA from 1 species
UACGUAGGGUGCAAGCGUUAAUCGGAAUUACUGGGCGUAAAGCGUGCGCAGGCGGUUUUGUAAGUCUGUCGUGAAAUCCCCGGGCUCAACCUGGGAAUUGCGAUGGAGACUGCAAGGCUAGAAUCUGGCAGAGGGGGGUAGAAUUCCACGUGUGAGCAGUGAAAUGCGUAGAGAUGUGGAGGAACACCGAUGGCGAAGGCAGUGUCCUGGGGAGUACCUGACGCCUCAGGUGCGAAAGCCAGGGGAGCGGA